CUAACCUUAUCCCACACAUAGACAGAAUCUGUGUGCUCCUUAAUUAAAGUGUCAUUGGUAACAUGGUCCAUGAGAGCCUGGGGGAAUGUCUAUGAUUGUAGGGAGACCCCCUAAAACUAUUGCUAUGGUAUAAAAGAUGAAAUGCUCCUGAUUAUUGUAAAUACAAAAUUGCAUGCAGGAUUGUGUAAAGACAAUGCCAGGUUGGACUGCCAGAAUGAGCCAACAGCGCGUGAUGUGCUUCCCCCUGCAGAGAGCCUAUGAAUGGACGUGCAGUCAGGGAGGUUUCACAUCACCAAGAUUCCUAUCCCAGAAAAGCAGAUGUUCAUGGCUCUGGGAAUGGAAUGCUACCCUUGUGGAGAGCCUAUAAACGGAUGCAUGGGGGGGUGCCUGUCCAUAUGGAUAAGAGCGCUAUGAAUGCCCUCAUCUUGCCGUGGCUCUUCUAGGCCUCUUUAGGGUUAAGGCAUACUCCCUUCUGAGAAUUUCUGGUCUAACCGGUUGUCUAGCUUCAUGUCCUGUUUCCAUGGAUUGUUUGUAACCAGCUUUUGUUGAAAUUGUUACUGCUGAUUAAUAUCUUGCUAAUCAUAGGUUAUGGAAAGAUUGUGUUUCUGUUUUAAGGCUCUGUUAGAAAUUACUGAUGCACACACUAUAUUGUAAAUUCUUAUCUCUGUGUACUGUACUUCUACAUACAAAUGUACUGUACUUCUGCAUACAAAUGUUAUGUUAAAGAAUUACUUCAUCCCCAUGUGACCAUCUCACCUCAUAAUCAAAUGACACUAAAUCCCUCACUAACCUACCCCUGCCCUCACUAAACUUAAUAAUAAAUGCUGGUAUAUCCAGUGCAUUGUUGGCACCAUGGGACCAGAAGGCGGUGACCCACCUGGACCCAGUUUUCACUAUCUUGUGUGUGUCUAUUAUUUCUCAACCUGCCGAUCCACCUGGAAACAAAGAGAGAGCCCCGUUGCAUUGCGGGCUGCUAGCCAGAUCCCGCAAUAUAUGACUUCUGCUUUAGAGAAGAGAAAUUCCUGCAAAGUGGAAGAAUCUCAGCCACAAAUAAUGGUUGUUCAAUAUAAAAACAGGCAUUAAAAGGAAAGGAUGAAGCUUUUUUACUUUCCUUUUGUUUCUUUGCUUAGAAGAACAAAGGAUUGGGAAGAACAGAAACAGUAAAGGACAGGUGAGUUUCUAAGGGUAAGACAUGUUUUCCUCUGAUUAAAAAUGCUCCAUAUCUUUUAUUUCUGGUAGAAUUAGAGUCUGCAAAUUUUGAAGCAGGCAUUCCUCGCUGGAUGCUUAGAAUAACAUUAUGCCCUUGUCUUCUUAUAUUAAUGUAUUCCAAGGCUCUUAUCACUGUUUAAAAAGUAGUUUGAAUGCUUUGAUAUUCCAUAUCCAAGGAUAUUGAUCUGCCUUAUUGUUUUUGGAGAGGUUAAUGAAAAGAAACUCUCUUUGCUUCACCCUAUUAGAAAACCCCAUGAUUCAAUGUAGAUAAAGUUCUAAUUUUUAUAUUUGGAAACUAUUUUUAAAUAAUUCAAUUUGCAAAAGACAGUAUUUUCUGUUUCCUUUUUCAGUGCUUCCUAUAGCCUAUUUACCUCUGUUCUUCACUUAAGGAAAUUGUAGAAUAAUUAAUAUAAGACUUCAGAAUUAUGGAGCCAAUAGAUGUUACAGAAUCUGUAUCUCUUAUUCUUAAAGAAGUAUCUGCCUCCUCAAUGGAAAAGAACUAUAGCCUUUUCUUUCUCAAUGUUUUCUCACGGUCAAGUAUAAUUAUUCAAUCUUUUUCAUAUCCACAUCUUCCCAUCCACCCAAUUUAGGAGAAAUUCUCUUUAAAAAUAUUUAGAGCUUUAAACUCUGGUUGAGUGCCACUUCUACUAAGUUAACAAGAUGUUAAUAUGUCAUUCCAGGAAUGUAUGAAGUCAAAAUGUCUAUCCAAGAUCCUCUUCUUCACAACCUAUAUAUAGGAGAAUAUGACAGCAUUCAUAUAUCCUGAAUAAAUUAGAAAGUCUAUCAGAGAACAAGUGUGAGGGAUACCAACUCUGAGCUGAAUAAGGACACGUUCUCAUCAGGGAAGAUUUGUUUUUGCCUGCGUCUUGGUAAAGUUGCUUUUUACCCUCUCAAUUAUUGGACGGAAAGUCUGUCUUCCCCCUGAGGCCAUUUAAAGGAACACAGAUGACUUCUUUACAUUUUCCUUCCCUUCUUCAAGGCUUAAUGAACUUUAGGGUGAAGUUUAUAAAGCCCAGAACAGAGAGCUUGCUCAAAAACACUGUGAAGUGCCCGAUGACGAUCUAUUUUUUCCUAUUUGUGAGAAUCAGAGAUUUGGAGAGCUCGUCCUUUCGCAUUUAUGUUUCAACACUUAAGUGUGACUUAACAAGAUGUUUAAAGCUGAGACUGGGGUAGAAUAAUUCUUGAGACUUAAGGGAUGUUGAAUUUCACACUCUAUAUAAGGGAGCUUAGCAUACCAAUCUUUGCUUUAGGGGAGAAUCAGGGAGCUAUUCUAGGGUUUGCUAAGUAUAAUAGUUGACACAGCAGAGAAAUCUUUCACUUUUGGCUUCCUGCCAUGCCCUGUGAAUAAAGGAGUAUGCCAGUUACUUAUAGGACUGUUUUUCCCUUGGGAGAUUUAGUUCUAGCUCACCUUAACUCAUUACUGAUUCACGGGCUGCUGUUUUUGGCUAAAUGUGUUAGAGGAGCAAUGUUAGCUGAGAGGCUAUCAAAAUUUGCAACAGGCUCUUCCAUCAUCCCAUCCCUUUGGAACUCUGCUGUCAAAAAAUCCACUCAAGACACUGCCUUUCUUUUUUCUCUUCCAUCCGUCCCCAUGAGUACUUUUUCCAAUUAAGGUCAGCUUGUAAAAGGACUACAUUUAUUAUUCAUGUUUCUAUCAUUUGCACUUUACUAGGCACUCUUUUUAUUAAGCACCAGUCCAUAAAAUGCCUGGAAGUUCAUCCUUUUUUUCUAUUCCCCACUGACAGUUGGCUUUGAUGUAGAGGGGAGAAAUGGAUCUGCUCAACAUUUCUAGCUCAAGUAGAGUCUUAGGCUAGAUGGCAAAAGUAGUUUAGCUGCUAAGACCCUUUGGCUGCAUCAUUAGACCAGCAUGUAAUUAUAUAUUUUAUAGGUAGCCCAGGGUAGACUGAAAUCAUCAUUUCCUAAAACGGACUUAGCAAUUAUCUUGGUAGAUAGGUGUUUGUUUAUUGAGUCUUAUCACUUUAGAAUUAAAGAGCAUGUCAAGAGAAAUACUUUAAAGAUAAUCCCAGAGAAUUUUCUAUUAUUCCCUGAAUAAUAGGAGAACAGAUUUGUUUACUUAAAAGUUGUGCUUAGAGGCCAACAGAUAACGAAGUUGUACAGAUAGCCUUUGGCACUCAUGGCAUGUAACAAAGUGAAAAUUUUUGGUUUAUGGAAACUAAGCCCAAACUACCAUUUUGCACAUCAUUACAGUGAUCCUGAUUUGGACUGUUGCUAGCCCACAUAUAUCCACUAUAAGAGCAUUUUCCUGCUCCACUAAACCCUAGACUAUUGUGAAAUUUUUGUUGAAUUCAUUAGUACCAAUUUAACCUAUUAAUUACUGAUAGAAAAUACAAAAAAAAAAAAAAAAACUAUGGGACCUUUGUGCCCAAGAGUGACUUAGCUAGUUUGUAUGACGAUUUCUCUGUGCUAAUAAGUUGACUGGGGAAGUAUAAAUGACUAAAGGAGUAGGGUUACAAAAUCACAUUAUUGAACACAAAAACAACUUUUUUUUUCAGCAUCACCUUGAUUUAUUUUCCUAGUAUUUUUUUCCUCAGAUGGAAAAAUAAUUUCAUCAAGAAAACAAAUGCUUCUGCCAAAGUGAAAGAAUUUUAUGUCUUA
rnacentral:lncRNA from 1 species